AAUGAACGCUGGCGGCAGGCCUAACACAUGCAAGUCGAACGGAUCCUUCGGGAUUAGCGGCGGACGGGUGAGUAACGCGUGGGAACAUACCCUUUGGUACGGAAUAGCCUCGGGAAACUGGGAGUAAUACCGUAUGUGGUCGAGAGACGAAAGAUUUAUCGCCAAAGGAUUGGCCCGCGUUGGAUUAGGUAGUUGGUGGGGUAAUGGCCUACCAAGCCGACGAUCCAUAGCUGGUUUGAGAGGAUGAUCAGCCACACUGGGACUGAGACACGGCCCAGACUCCUACGGGAGGCAGCAGUGGGGAAUCUUAGACAAUGGGGGAAACCCUGAUCUAGCCAUGCCGCGUGAUCGAUGAAGGCCUUAGGGUUGUAAAGAUCUUUCAGGUGGGAAGAUAAUGACUGUACUACCAGAAGAAGCCCCGGCUAACUCGUGCCAGCCGCCGCAGUAA
rnacentral:rRNA from 1 species